rnacentral:rRNA from 1 species
UAGGGAAUCUUCCGCAAUGGGCGAAAGCCUGACGGAGCAACGCCGCGUGAGUGAUGAAGGUCUUCGGACCGUAAAACUCUGUUAUUAGGGAAGAACAAAUGUGUAAGUAACUAUGCACGUCUUGACGGUACCUAAUCAGAAAGCCACGGCUAACUACGUGCCAGCAGCCGCGGUAAUACGUAGGUGGCAAGCGUUAUCCGGAAUUAUUGGGCGUAAAGCGCGCGUAGGCGGUUUUUUAAGUCUGAUGUGAAAGCCCACGGCUCAACCGUGGAGGGUCAUUGGAAACUGGAAAACUUGAGUGCAGAAGAGGAAAGUGGAAUUCCAUGUGUAGCGGUGAAAUGCGCAGAGGUAUGGAGGAACACCAGUGGCGAAGGCGACUUUCUGGUCUGUAACGGACGCUGAUGUGCGAAAGCGUGGGGAUCAAACAGG